AUAUAUAUAUAUAUAUAUAUAUAUAUAUAUAUAUAUAUAUAUAUAUAUAUAUAUAUAAAAUCUCAAACAUGAUUUUUCUCUAACCUAAUAUACUGUCAUAAUUAUUUUACACCUAAAUUUUGGAUACAGUGUUAGAUCAAGUCCAGCACCAUUGCAACUAUCUGUCUUUUUUACUCUGGAGUUUACACAUGGAAACAAGCCUGAACAAACAUGACAUUUGUGUUUAACAGCAAAUCCCCAUCAAUUCCUAAUCUAAUCAGAUCUCAACAAUCAUAAAGAAAUCCGUAUCAAAACAUGGCACGCAGCCAGUGUUGCAGUGACUGUAGGAGCUGGCAUUGUGCAUCUGCAAAACUUCCUUUUGAAAUACUAAAUGGGAAUAGUGGAUCAAGGUGCACUUUAGGUUACAGUACAAGUGUCAGCGUCAUCAAAAACAGAAUGUAUGAGUUCAUUUGUUAUAGUUUGCAUUAUUUAUUUACCUGUUUGUAACAUAAUUUGUAUGUUACUUAGAUUGUUUUAGUCAGCUGAUUGUCUUUAUCUUCUGCAAAUCCAAUAAAGUCUGCUGGAUGUUUUGUUUCACUUAGAUGUGCUUUCGACACAGGGGCUGUCAGUUUCGUAUGGUUACAGUUCACAGUAUGUAUGUAAAGAAAACUCACAAUAUUCAGUAUGUAAUUUUAAUUAUGUACAUGAUAAAAUAUAUCUGCAACAUGCUUUCAGUGGAUUACCUUAUUUCUUAUUCCUUAAAAUACACCUUUUUUUUUUUCCUGAAAGUUUGCUUAAGGUUUUUGAUGUUGGCUUAAAAGAAUGAGACAGGGCGACCAGAAGUAGCCUAAAGAAACUGAAUGUUUUCUUUGAGGUGGUGUAUGCAGUGAAUAAAGCCAUCAAUCUGUCAAUAUUAGAAUCACAGACAUGAUUGCUUUUUCAAGCUUCUCUGCCAUUAAUACAAAUAGAUUUUUAAUGGUCACAGUGCUCUCAGAUAAAAUCAGAAUAAGAGAUUAAGGUUAAGAGAUUAGAUUAUAACACACUCUUAUCUAAUCUUACCUUUAUAAGUUAUAUAAUAUGAUAGUUUGUUGUGGUCACACAUUUGGUCUUGUAAUUAAGUCUUAA
ensembl:lncRNA